UUCGGACAUCCUGCGACCUUGUCAUCUACUGAGAAAUCACCUGAAUAGCGUCCGUCAAAGAUGUCGAUUUCAAAAAUUGAACUCGGGUUGCCGUUUGGUUUCCAGCCCGACCCAAUUCUAGAAACGGCCACCCCGGAGCAACGCGCUAUCGUUCUGACGACAGGCUGUGUGGCUCUGAAGGCCCUUUUGUUUAAGACGGACUCCCUUUCAAAUGAGGAAGCGUACAAGAAAGCUACUGCCGAACAAGCUGAAAAAUGGUUGGCAGAAAAAUCUGAAUUAGAGAAGAAGGCUUUGCGAGAGAAGAAGGAACUUGAGGAUAAGAAGGCCGCCGAAGUGAGACAGCUGAACGACAAACUGAUUGCUGAACAGAAAAAAAUCAAGCGCAAGGAGGAAGAAUUAACCGAAGCCGACACAUUGCGCGCCAAAGCCGAAAGAGAGGCAGAAAUAUUGCGCAAGAGGGAAUCGCAAACGCUCAUCGAUGAACGAACCCGCACCCGCAGCCAAGUGGAAUCUGAAAAUUCGCGCGAGAUUGAAAAACUCACCCAGGAACUCAAAGAGACAAAAUCCAAAAUUGAAGAGACUGAAAAGGCUCUCAGAGAAGCUCUGAAGAAAGUAGGUGAUACAGCUUUAGAGGCAGAGAAGGAUAAAAACGCCGCAGUUGAUAAGGUGCGUGAAGAAUCGACAGCGAAAAUUCUGGCUCUGACGAGUCGCCAGUCCAACUCCUCGUUGAAGGGGCAGGACAACGAGAAAAUGUUCGGUGAACUUCUUCACAAGGUUUUCGGUAUCAGCGCAGACUAUGUUAAACAGGAGCAUCGCAUCGAAUCUGGUGACCACAUCAUCGAAUGGGAAGGACUCAAGCUCAUGUUCGAGAACAAGUACUACGAGAAGCAAGUGACGUCUGAUGAAGUGGAGAAAGCAAUCAAGGAUUUCAAGAAGCAUCCCGAGUGUGACGUGCUCAUCUUUGUGAGCGAGAAAAGCAGCAUUGCCAAACACCAGCGACCAGGUCACUUGGAUAUCGACAUCGUCGAUGGGCGGGCCGCUAUUUGGAUCGGCGAAUUCAAUCGCAACGAAGACAAGGUCGUCUACCUGCAGAUGAUUGCGCAAGUUAUCAGACAGCUUGCUAAUUUUCAGAAGCGGGCGAAGGAAAUCGGAGAUGGCGAUGGUGUUGUUGAGGAUUACAAGAGCAAAAUACUUACUAUCCGCCGCUAUUUUGAAAGUACCAACGAAGACUUAAAAAGUCUUGUCAAGGCACAGUUCGCUUACCAACGUGCACAGAAAGUGGCAUGGGACGCGCUGAAAGAACAAAUAAAUACGUUCAAAGGUAAUUUCGAUCGCCGCCUACAAAGUGCGAUGAAAGAUGAGAACGACGAAAUAGAUUAUUCAUCCACUGUAGAUGAUAGUCAAAUUUCCCGAUAGGGAUUUAUCGGCAAACGACCCUGUCCUCCCACCCCCCACCCCACCCCACCCGACCCCACUCUACCCACCUCCUACUCCGACUGUGCGACGACGUCUCUUUCUUCUACGGCUCGAUAGCUGUUUUCGGAGUUUUUUACUCGAUUUCUCUCUGGGAGGUGGCGCUGUUCCUCUCGGAGAGAUAGGGAAACGAUUUUCGUCUGGGGGGUUCCAUUAAUGUUUUAUACGAUUUGCGGGGGUUUUCGUGACGGUAUGCAAAUCGCGACCGUCUUGUAGAGGAGAUGUUAUUACAAGGAGCCGUCGUGGUCCCGCUUGGAUUAAAGGAUAGGGGUCGGCGUGAGAUAAAUCGAAGAAAGAAUGACUUUUUUUAAGUUAUUUUUUCUUCCGUCAGGUGGUUCUGACGCCAAUCCAUAAUUCAAGGCCGACGAACUCCAACGCGGCCAUGGAUUAAACUAUAGGUGAAUCAUAACAAUACCAGCUAACCUUGGAUUGGAAUUCAAAAACACAAAACAAGGCUGGCUGCUAAUCAAUCAGGGCAAGGUUAAAGAAAAAUGUAGGCAAAUUUUAAAGAAUGUAGUAUAUAAUCCUUUGAUUGUAAAUUAUUUUCCCUACUACGUAAAGCUGGUACAAUAGCCGUACGGUUUUUUAUAUACCGAAAAGCAUUCAUUCAUCAUGGAGUCCAGGAUGAUUUACGAUGUGAUGGUAGAACAAUGCUGGAUUACCACCCUAUAAUUCUUGAAACUACAUUAGUUUCCAAUGCCAGUGGAUCGGCAAGGCUGAGACUUGCAAACUCAUCAACAUCUGGAAAAUGAAAUUUGCAAAUUCCUACAAAGAUCCUAUGCUUCAGCUGAUGUGAUAUUUCCACCAGUCCUGAUGUAUCAACACUGGUGCAGAGUCUACGACAAGCCUUGGCCCUUGAAGCUAAAUUCCAACCAAAGCUUCAACUUCUGCCAACACUCAACAGCCAGCAAUACAGGAGAAAGUGGUGAAAUUAUGUGUGCAAUGAGGGAUGGAGCUGCUCAUGUUCUUCGCUGCAUGAAAGUCUGGUAUGAUCUUCCUUAUGCAGUUCUUCUGGAUGCUCUCAACAUGAUGGACUGGUUCAUGAGCCGCAUGAAAGCACUCCUAAACACCUCUCAUGGAUAGCAAUCAGCUCCUUCCAUCUAGCAGCUUGCCAAUGGGUGGAGAGGAUUAAACAGAACAACAUUGAGGUAUCUUCCAUUCAGAGUCCAUUGUAGAUUGUUCCUGAACCUCAAUAUCUGGUAACGAUAUCUUAAUGUAAAUGUACCGCCGGAGACAUCAACCGGAUGGAAAAAAUUGUCGAAGCCAAGAUAGCUUGUCUACCCCAAGAAGAACCGGUCACGACCUUAACAUUCCUCAACCUGUAUCACUCACUUCUCUCGACGACUUUACCUGCCGCUCUUCAGCAAGACCUUCUUAUUCUUUCAUGCAAGCAGGAGACCAUUUGCUGUGACGCAAAAUAAUGCUGCCUUUCCCUCAUCUCUUUUGGCUUUCGUCCUACUGUUUGUCGAAAUGAAGUGUCACCAGCCGGCCAUCGAGGUUAUUAUCAGAGACGUUUUACUAGAACUUCAGCGACUUGUUCAGGUCAAAGAUGACUAGUUGAAGGAGUGUAUAAGAAUGGUCACUUCGGAAAUGGCACCUUACGAUGGCUAUGCCCAAAGCAAUCCGUCUCAUCGUCAACGACUUACCUGGAAGUUGUCCUUUUUCUACUAUUUCUUUGCCUUCUAAACCAUUUAUAAUAAGUUUUGCCUUUAGUAAAGCAAAAUGCCUAGCUUUUUCUAGUCCUAUACCACUUACUUGUUGAGCCUGUGUAAAUUCGGGUCUCAGUGAUAUAUGAUUACCACUCUUAACAAGAAAAC